UUGUGUCUCCUCAGGCACCGCCGAGGCUGCGGCUGGGACGCUGGGCUCAGCUUCUCUGCCGACAGGAGCUCGGUCUCCUCAGGACUCGCUGGGGUUUCGGCUCAGGACAACGUGAGGCUGCGUCCACGCGGACGGGAGCUGGGUUUCCUGAGGACGCAGGCGACGCGGGGAGGAAAAGGUUUUUUUGGUGGAAUGAUGUGGAAAAUUGAACUUCCAAAAUCCCACGGUUUCUACCACAUCCAAGUCAUCCCCAACAGGGAAGAAAGGGAAGCCCUUUAUAUUGGGAAGUCCUCAUACAGUCUUUCCACAGUGCCUCUAAAUGACGUGUGGACUUGGGGUGAACUGGAUCUGGGUAAGGCUUGGCCUCUAUGGAAGUUUGAUGUUUCCUCUGCCUUUCUGGCAUGGUUUUGACAUGGUGUUUUGAAAAGUCAUUGACUUUCCAGUAAUUUCAAACGUACAGACAACUUUACAUACAGAAAAGCAAGUCUUGUAUCUUGAUUAAAUAUAUUCCUAAAUAUUAA